AGAACGAACGCUGGCGGCAGGCCUAACACAUGCAAGUCGAGCGCCCCCGCAAGGGGGAGCGGCGGACGGGUGAGUAACAUGUGGGAAUAUGCCUUUUGGUACGGAACAACUUUUGGAAACGAAAGCUAAUACCGUAUGGUCCCUUCGGGGUAAAGAUUUAUCGCCAAAAGAGUAGCCCGCACUGGAUUAGCUAGUUGGUGAGGUAACGGCUCACCAAGGCGACGAUCCAUAGCUGGCCUGAGAGGACGACCAGCCACACUGGGACUGAGACACGGCCCAGACUCCUACGGGAGGCAGCAGUUGGGAAUCUUGGACAAUGGGCGCAAGCCUGAUCCAGCCAUGCCGCGUGAGUGAUGAAGGCCUUCGGGUUGUAAAACUCUUUAGUCCACGAAUAUAAUGACUGUAGUGGAAGAAUAAGCCCCGGCUAACUUCGUGCCAGCAGCCGCGGUAAUACGAAGGGGGCUAGCGUUGUUCGGAAUUACUGGGCGUAAAGCGCGCGUAGGCGGUUUUGCAAGCCAGAGGUGAAAUGCCUGAGCUCAACUUAGGAAUUGCCUUUGGGACUGCGAGGCUUUGAGGACUGGAGAGGUGAGUGGAAUUCCCAGUGUAGAGGUGAAAUUCGUAGAUAUUGGGAAGAACACCAGUGGCGAAGGCGGCUCACUGGCCAGUUUCUGACGCUGCAGCGCGAAAGCGUGGGGAUCAAACAGGAUUAGAUACCCUGGUAGUCCACGCCGUAAACGAUGAGUGCUAGGCGUCGGCACGCUUGCGUGUCGGUGCCGCAGCUAACGCGUGAAGCACUCC
rnacentral:rRNA from 1 species